rnacentral:lncRNA from 1 species
AGGCGGCUGUAAUACAGCUAAGGAUAUAGUGUGUGUGUUCUUAUCCACAGGAUUUCAUGCUGUGCUGUAGUGGGAUCCCUUACCACUGGAUUGGCCUCUGGAGGGAACAAAGCAAGGGCCAGCCCUGGAAGUGGACCAACGGUACCAUAUUCAACAACCUGUUUCAGGUCAGAGGGGAAGGGCAGUGCGCCUACCUGGAUGAAAAUGGGGUCAGCAGUUCCAGGUGCUACUCAGAGAGACAUUUCAUCUGCAAGCGGCUGGACGAGUGCUCUAGAAGGAAGCCCAGUGCCGCAGGAGGGGACAGAUCACUUAAAGGAGCUUGGUAUGUGUGCCGGUGAGUUUUUUGAUGGCUGCUGAGCUUGAUGGGCGAGUGACAGUCCAGUCCACAGGUAUGACACACCCACACAUUAGCAACGCUCUGAAUCUGAGCAGCAGAUUCUUUUCUCCUCUGACGCCGAUCACCACAAAGUUUGAUUCAGUCCUUCUCACAAUGCCUCGCUCCAUCUACAAGCUGACUCUGCCAACCGGUGCGGCAUUCUGCAUUCCUUUCCCAAUCAUCCACAGAGAUUCCAAAGGACACUAAGCUUUGCAAGCAUCCUGGAAUCUGUGCAGCGGUCUGCCUCUCUUUCUAGACCCUUCGCGAGCGUCAAAGUACUGAAAACUCUUCAGGAUCCUGUAACACUGGUCUACAAUUUUUCAGAAGUCAUCUGCUUCAGAGAUAAAAUGUGGUAUUUAUUAUGUAUUUUGAUGUGCUGAAUUCAAAUAUGACAAUUAAAACAACUGAUUGGCUUCUGUUUCUAAGCCAAAGGGUUAUAUAAAUAAAAUGUAUUAUGAAACAAAAGGCA